UCGAGCGGACAGAAGGGAGCUUGCUCCCGGAUGUUAGCGGCGGACGGGUGAGUAACACGUGGGUAACCUGCCUGUAAGACUGGGAUAACUCCGGGAAACCGGAGCUAAUACCGGAUAGUUCCUUGAACCGCAUGGUUCAAGGAUGAAAGACGGUUUCGGCUGUCACUUACAGAUGGACCCGCGGCGCAUUAGCUAGUUGGUGGGGUAAU
rnacentral:rRNA from 1 species